AUUGAACGCUGGCGGCAUGCCUUACACAUGCAAGUCGAACGGUAACGGGUCCUUCGGGAUGCCGACGAGUGGCGAACGGGUGAGUAAUAUAUCGGAACGUGCCCAGUAGUGGGGGAUAACUGCUCGAAAGAGCAGCUAAUACCGCAUACGACCUGAGGGUGAAAGGGGGGGAUCGCAAGACCUCUCGCUAUUGGAGCGGCCGAUAUCAGAUUAGCUAGUUGGUGGCGUAAAGGCCUACCAAGGCAACGAUCUGUAGUUGGUCUGAGAGGACGACCAGCCACACUGGGACUGGGACACGGCCCAGACUCCUACGGGAGGGAGCAGUGGGGAAUUUUGGACAAUGGGCGCAAGCCUGAUCCAGCAAUGCCGCGUGCAGGAAGAAGGCCUUCGGGUUGUAAACUGCUUUUGUCAGGGAAGAAAUCUUCUGGGCUAAUACCCCGGGAGGAUGACGGUACCUGAAGAAUAAGCACCGGCUAACUACGUGCCAGCAGCCGCGGUAA
rnacentral:rRNA from 1 species